GUCUGUGGGACGCUGCGGCUUACCGGGACCGAGGAUUGACAGAAAACUCCCCUGGACGACGAGAAGCUAUCCCGGUUCACAGAUGGCUCAUGCUUGCAGGAUCUCUUGCUUUGAGGCUGGGAAAGCAGCCCCUUGGCCUUCAGCCGCUUCAGCCCAGCAGGCGGGGCUAUUGCCCUCACUGGAGCUCCUUGCUAAGGAGAAACUGCUGACCUUUAUACAGACAGCAGUCUCAGGUCAUGAAGUACGGAGCUGCAGUGGCAUUGGAAAAGAGGUGACCUUAAGGCGAGGUGCUCUGAGCCCGCUGUCCGCCUGCAUGAGGGCUGCUGGAGGGCGCCCGGCUGUGCAGCAGCACCAGCACUGUGAAAACGUCCGCUGUUCAGCCAGUGCGGGGAGGACAUGUCUAAGAUGGCCGAGACAUCCCCUUCCUUGGAGGGGUGAGGAGAAAACCCGCUUGUCCAAGCUCCUGCGGUGGGCCUGGCGGCAGUCAGGGGCCCGCAGACACCGGGGACUUCACUGUCUCUAUGUGAGGCUGUGCCUCAGCGGUCAUGUUCCAUGGCUGCUGUAAAGUUCUGCUUCUGCACCUGGUUCCUCUCUUUCUUCUAAGAUGAGAAUUAGUAACAGUAACAUAAAUUUUAACGUCCUUGAUAUUCUUGACAAAUAUGAAAAAAGUGCUGACGCGUUAGGUCUUCUCACCUGGCUUCUUGAAAAUCCUGGGUCCCAUCUCCAAGACACGUGACUCGUCUGACCCUAUCACAGACCACCAUUACCUCACCCUACCUACCUGCCCCCUGCUUGGUACUCAAUAAAAGUCAGCGUCCAGGCACUCAGGGCCGCUGCCGGACUCCGUCCUCUGUGUAGCAGUGGACCCCUGCGCCCAGACUCUCUUUUCUCUAUCUCUGUCCUGUAUCUUUGUUUUCAGUUUCUUGUCUCCACACCUGUAGACAGGGACUCACAGGACCCGGUAAGGCUGGACCCUAUAGUUACCAAUCUGUUACUUUUCUUUUUUUUCUUUUCUUGAGACAAAGUCUCUCUCUGCUGCCCAGGCUGGAGUGUAAUGGUGCAAUUUUGGCUCACUGCAAUCUCCACCUCCUGGGUUCAAGUGAUUCUCCCGCCUCCGCCUCCCAGGUAGCUGGCACUACAGGCGUGCGCCACCACUCCCAGCUAAUUUUUGUAUUUUUAGUAGAGACAAGGUUUCACCAUGUUGGCCAGGCUGCUCUCAAACUACUGACCUUAGGUCAUCAGUCUGCCUCAGCCUCCCAAAGUGCUAGGAUUAUAGGUGUGAGCUACCACGCCUGGCCCAAUCUGUUGUUUUUCUUUUUCUUUGUUUUUUGAGAUGGAGUCUUACUCUGUAGUCCAGGCUGGAGUGCAGAGGCUCGAUCUUGGCUCACUGCAACCUCUGCCUCCCGGGUCCCGAUUCAAGCAAUUCUCCUACCAUAGCCUCCCAAGUAGCUGUGAUUAUAGGCACGAGCCACCAUGCCCAGCUAAUUUUUGUAGUUAUUUAUUUUUAUUUUUUUGGAGACGGAGUUUCGCUGGUUACCCAGGUUGGAAGUCCUGUUACAGUGAAUCCCAAGUUUCUCCGCAAAGAACCAGUAUCACAGUACGUUCAGCCCUCUUAUUCUUUAAUUCUCCGUUUUAAAGCUUAACUUCCUUGUAAUUCCAGUAAACAACCUUCUCCACCGGUUCUAACCAGUAGUUCACAUCUGCUCCCCCGGUCCCCGGCUCCAUUCUGACUCAUCACGGCCACCUGCUCCAUUGACCCACCCGUAAUCAUCCUUCCUGCCAGAACACCCACGCCGCCACUCCAGCUCUGACCCCUGCUCUCUUUAAAACAGCCAGUCCAGAUUAGUCUAGCUUGUGAGGUCUAACCCUACCCAGUAGGGUACGACACAGCAGUAGGGACGACUCCCCAUCAAGCAGAAGUAUCCUUUCCCCCUUUAUCCAAGCGUGCGGCUGCCAUUGUUCCAUCCCUACACUGCACCCUUCUAUAGAAGUCAACUGCCUUGCUUAGAGAACUUAUUGUUAUUUGAGGCAUUGAAAUUUUACUUAUAACAGUCUGACACAGCAUGUGUAUUCCAGGCUGCAAUCCCUUGCCCAACAAACUGUUUUAUUAUUAUUUUUAAAACUAGAGACGAGGCUUUGCCAUGUUGCCCAGGAUGGUCUCAAACUCCUGGGCAAGCGAUGCAUCCAUGCUGGCCUCCAAAAGUGCUGUUCUCCACCACCCCUGACCCCGACACAUUUAUUUAUUUAUUUAUUUAUUUAUUUAUUUAUUUAUUUAUUUAUUUAUUUAUUUUUUUGAGAUGGAGUUUCACUCUCGUUACCCAGGCUGGAGUGCAAUGAUGCGAUCUCGGCUCACCGCAACCUCCGCCUCCUGCUUCAGGCAAUUCUCCUGCCUCAGCCUCCUGAGUAGCUGGGAUUAUAGGCAUGCGCCACCAUGCCCAGCUAAUGUUUUGUAAAAAAUGCUUUAUUUUUUAAAGUUUGAAGAUUUUUCUUGCCGUCCUGCAGUUCAAAUUCAAUCAAUCUUUUUUUUUUUUUUUUUUUUUUUUUUUUGAGACAGAGUCUUACUCUGUUAUUCAGGCCAGAGUGCCGUGGCUCAAUCUCAGCUCACUGCAACUUCCGCCUGCCAAGUUCAAGCAAUCCUCCUGCCUCAGCCUCCUGAGUAGCCGGGAUACAGGAGUACAGCACCACAUCUGGCUGAUUUUGUAUUUUUAGUAGAGAUGGGGUUUCACCACGUUAGCCAGGCUGUUCCUGAACUCCUGUCCUCAGGUGAUUGCCCAUCUCAGCCUCCCAAAGAGCUGGAAUUACAGGUAUGAGCCGCCAUGCCUGGCCUUCAAUAAAUAUUUUUUUAAUUUUUAAAUUAAUUUUUAGAAAUAGGGUUUCAUGACCAGGUGCAGUGGCUCAUGCCUGUAAUCCCAGUACUUUGGGAGGCCGAGGUGGGUGGAUCACCUGAGGUUAGGAGGUCAAGACCAGCCUGACCAACAUGGUGAAACCCCAUCUCUACUAAACAUACAAAAAGCCGGGUGUGGUGCUGUACCCCUGUAGUCCCAGCUACUCGGGAGGCUGAGGCAGGAGAAUCGCUUGAACCCAAGAGGCAGAGGUUGCGGUGAGCCGAGAUCGCACCACUGCACUCCAGCCUGGGCGACAAGAGUGAAACUCCGUGUCAAAAAAUAAAAAAAAAUAAAAAAAAAAGGAAUCAGGUCUCUUUGUCACAGACACGGGAGUGCGGGGGCACGGACACCGCUCAGCGCACCCUCGACCUCCCAGGUUCAGGCGACCGUCGCACGCCAGCCUCCCGAGCAGCAAGGGCUACAGGCAUAAAAACGUUUUUAAAGUUUCUGGAACAGAAGGGGUUUCCCUACGGUGCCCAGGCUGGUCUCCAGCCCCCGGCGUCGAGCGAUCCUCCCGCCUCGGCCUCCCGACGAGCCGGGACCACAGACGUGAGCCACGCGCCGGCCACACUCCCAGGUGAGCGGCCUCUCGGGUGCCAGACGCAGGCUGUCGCACGUCCUCCCUGCGGGCUGGAACGGGCCGGCGGCGUCGCUGGGCAGUGAGGUCCCCGCAGUGGCCAUGAGCGCGGACGCGGCGCCGCGACUCCGCGGACGGGGGCGGGGCG
rnacentral:lncRNA from 1 species